UCGGGAAUUUUGGGCAAUGGGGGAAACCCUGACCCAGCAACGCCGCGUGAGUGAAGAAGGCCUUCGGGUUGUAAAGCUCUUUUGUCAGGGAAGAAACGGUAGUAGCGAAUAACUAUUACUAAUGACGGUACCUGAAGAAUAAGCACCGGCUAACUACGUGCCAGCAGCCGCGGUAAUACGUAGGGUGCAAGCGUUAAUCGGAAUUACUGGGCGUAAAGCGUGCGCAGGCGGUUGUGUAAGUCAGAUGUGAAAUCCCCGGGCUCAACCUGGGAAUUGCAUUUGAGACUGCACGGCUAGAGUGUGUCAGAGGGGGGUAGAAUUCCACGUGUAGCAGUGAAAUGCGUAGAUAUGUGGAGGAAUACCGAUGGCGAAGGCAGCCCCCUGGGAUAACACUGACGCUCAUGCACGAAAGCGUGGGGAGCAAACAGGAUUAGAUACCCCUGUAGUCCCUGAGCGGGCUGGCAAGGCGCAU
rnacentral:rRNA from 1 species